GAUGAACGCUGGCGGCGUGCCUAAUACAUGCAAGUCGAGCGAACGGAUGAGGAGCUUGCUCCUCUGACGUUAGCGGCGGACGGGUGAGUAACACGUGGAUAACCUACCUAUAAGACUGGGAUAACUUCGGGAAACCGGAGCUAAUACCGGAUAAUAUAUUGAACCGCAUGGUUCAAUAGUGAAAGACGGUUUUGCUGUCACUUAUAGAUGGAUCCGCGCUGCAUUAGCUAGUUGGUAAGGUAACGGCUUACCAAGGCAACGAUGCGUAGCCGACCUGAGAGGGUGAUCGGCCACACUGGAACUGAGACACGGUCCAGACUCCUACGGGAGGCAGCAGUAGGGAAUCUUCCGCAAUGGGCGAAAGCCUGACGGAGCAACGCCGCGUGAGUGAUGAAGGUCUUCGGAUCGUAAAACUCUGUUAUUAGGGAAGAACAAAUGUGUAAGUAACUAUGCACGUCUUGACGGUACCUAAUCAGAAAGCCACGGCUAACUACGUG
rnacentral:rRNA from 1 species